GACGAACGCUGGCGGCGUGCUUAACACAUGCAAGUCGAACGGAAAGGCCCUGCGUUUGUGGGGUGCUCGAGUGGCGAACGGGUGAGUAACACGUGAGUAACCUGCCCUUGACUUUGGGAUAACUUCAGGAAACUGGGGCGAAUACCGGAUAGGAGCUCCUGCUGCAUGGUGGGGGUUGGAAAGUUUCGGCGGUUGGGGAUGGACUCGCGGCUUAUCAGCUUGUUGGUGGGGUAGUGGCUGACCAAGGCUUUGACGGGUAGCCGGCCUGAGAGGGUGACCGGCCACAUUGGGCCUGCGAUACGGCCCAGACUCCUACGGGCGGCAGCAGUGGGGAAUAUUGCACAAUGGGCGGAAGCCUGAUGCAGCAACGCCGCGUGCGGGAUGACGGCCUUCGGGUUGUAAACCGCUUUCGCCUGUGCCGAAGCGUGAGUGACGGUAAUGGGUAAAGAAGCACCGGCUAACUACGUG
rnacentral:rRNA from 1 species